CGAACCGCCUAUGGCUCCAUCACAACGUCAGACUUUCAGAAAUAUGCAAGAAAUCAUCCCCAGACCUUGUAGAACUUUUCCUCUCAUCUACAUAUUGAGUGUCAAAUUUUCUCUUCAUUUUAGAUGAGACAUAAUUUCCCAAAGCCGUUAAGAGUGUGUGGGCAGGGCAGCCCCCUUCCAUCUGAAUAAGAUUUCCCAUCGUGCCAGAAGGGAGACAAAGGACAGAGCAUCGUGGUUGGCUUUCGCCCAAGGAUGUGAAUCCGAUCCUCACCAAAAUGUGCCGAAAUCCAUGUCCGAUUGGUGAAAUGCUGCAGCAGCAUGAGAGACAGAGACACACACACACAAAGUGAAAUCUUCAUACAGGCAAG